CGGACGGGUGAGUAAUGCCUAGGAAUCUGCCUGGUAGUGGGGGACAACGUUUCGAAAGGAACGCUAAUACCGCAUACGCCUACGGGAGAAAGCAGGGGACCUUCGGGCCUUGCGCUAUCAGAUGAGCCUAGGUCGGAUUAGCUAGUUGGUGAGGUAAUGGCUCACCAAGGCGACGAUCCGUAACUGGUCUGAGAGGAUGAUCAGUCACACUGGAACUGAGACACGGUCCAGACUCCUACGGGAGGCAGCAGCA
rnacentral:rRNA from 1 species